AACAAACGCAAUCCACUUCGUUUAUGAACUGGAUGUAGUGCCGUCUAUGGGAUAAGACACAUCACGUAACUACCUCUCUAAUAAGGGCACCCUGAGUGUGGCUCCUGGAAGCAGUGUCCCCAGCCUAUGCUGUCACUCCCUGAGAGUCAGGAAGGCCUGCUGAGGACUUUACAUCUCCAGCUGUCCUGGACUCUCUGGUCUCUGCCUUCUGAGGCCAAGAGGACAGAAGCAGACAUUCUUACUACCAGCAGCCAGAGGCACUUGGGAUUCAGAAAAUACCAUCCCACUGAGAGGAGGCAACAAGAAUCACCAAGGUCCUCCAUGAGGGGCCUACCUCAUACCUGGCCUUCACCUGCUCUCUGCUGGUUCCAAAAGCUUGGCGGAAGGCGCUUAAGUCUAUUUGACUGUCCCUGUCAUCAUAAGGUUUACGGAUGGUUAAUUUAUUCUUUAUAGCACAGCCAUUGAUGGCUGUUAAAUCACAAAUGAGAGCCAAUAAAGGGUGAAUUGCAGCUGAAAUUACACUGUUUAUAUGACAGCAGAGUGCCGGCUAAAAGAUUCAUAUGCUCCUGAUGAAGUAUGUUAUAAAUUUUAAUUACCAUAGUUUGUACAAAUGACAUGUUUGAAAUGCUAUUGAGUAAUGUGACCCUGAUAAUGAAACUAUAAAAUAAAUCAUUAACUUUC